GGGGGAGUAGUAUAGUGGUAGUACUUGUAAUCUUGCGGCAGGCCCUACCUAUUUAAGAAUCCGUAAAGCACAGGUUCGAUUCCCGUCUCUCCUA